rnacentral:rRNA from 1 species
UACAGAGGUCUCAAGCGUUGUUCGGAUUCAUUGGGCGUAAAGGGUGCGUAGGCGGCGCGGUAAGUCGGGUGUGAAAUCUCGGAGCUUAACUCCGAAACUGCAUUCGAUACUGCCGUGCUUGAGGACUGGAGAGGAGACUGGAAUUUACGGUGUAGCGGUGAAAUGCGUAGAUAUCGUAAGGAAGACCAGUGGCGAAGGCGGGUCUCUAGACAGUUCCUGACGCUGAGGCACGAAGGUCAGGGGAGCAAACGGG